rnacentral:rRNA from 1 species
CCUACGGGAGGCAGCAGUGAGGAAUAUUGGACAAUGGGCGCAAGCCUGAUCCAGCCAUGCCGCGUGCAGGAAGACGCAUCUAUGGUGUGUAAACUGCUUUUGUACGGGAAGAAACACUCCUUCGUGAAGGAGCUUGACGGUACCGUAAGAAUAAGGAUCGGCUAACUCCGUGCCAGCAGCCGCGGUAAUACGGAGGAUCCAAGCGUUAUCCGGAAUCAUUGGGUUUAAAGGGUCCGUAGGCGGUUUAAUAAGUCAGUGGUGAAAUCUGGUCGCCCAACGAUCAAACGGCCAUUGAUACUGUUAGACUUGAAUUACUAGGAAGUAACUAGAAUAUGUAGUGUAGCGGUGAAAUGCUUAGAUAUUACAUGGAAUACCAAUUGCGAAGGCAGGUUACUACUAGUGGAUUGACGCUGAUGGACGAAAGCGUGGGGAGCGAACAGGAUUAGAUACCCUGGUAGUCCACGCCGUAAACGAUGGAUACUAGCUGUUGGGCGCAAGUUCAGUGGCUAGGCGAAAGUGAUAAGUAUCCACCUGGGGAGUACGUUCGCAAGAAUGAAACUCAAAGGAAUUAGACGGCUGAGACGNGCGAGAGACACGAGGAGGAGG